rnacentral:rRNA from 1 species
CUAAUACCGGAUAGGACCUUCCGUCGCAUGGUGGGGGGUGGAAAGUUUUUCGGCUGGGGAUGGGCCCGCGGCCUAUCAGCUUGUUGGUGGGGUGAUGGCCUACCAAGGCGGCGACGGGUAGCCGGCCUGAGAGGGCGACCGGCCACACUGGGACUGAGACACGGCCCAGACUCCUACGGGAGGCAGCAGUGGGGAAUAUUGGGCAAUGGGCGAGAGCCUGACCCAGCCAUGCCGCGUGAGUGAUGAAGGCCUUAGGGUUGUAAAGCUCUUUUGGCGGGGAAGAUUAUGACGGUACCCGCAGAAUAAGCCACGGCUAACUUCGUGCCAGCAGCCGCGGUAAUACGAAGGUGGCUAGCGUUGUUCGGAAUUACUGGGCGUAAAGCGCGCGCAGGCGGCCUAAUAAGUCAGGGGUGAAAUCCCUGGGCUCAACCCAGGAAUUGCCUUUGAAACUGCUAGGCUAGAGUACUGGAGGGGAUAGCGGAAUUCCUAAUGUAGCGGUGAAAUGCGUAGAUAUUAGGAGGAACACCGGUGGCGAAGGCGGCUAUCUGGACAGUAACUGACGCUGAGGCGCGAAAGCGUGGGGAUCAAACAGGAUUAGAUACCCUGGUAGUCCACGCCGUAAACGAUGGGUGCUAGCCGUUGGGGACGUAGUCCUUGGUGGCGCAGCUAACGCGUUAAGCACCCCGCCUGGGGAGUACGAUCGCAAGAUUAAAACUCAAAGGAAUUGACGGGGACCCGCACAAGCGGUGGAACAUGUGGAUUAAUUCGA